UCAUGAAUAUAUGAGUUUUGUUGGUUGUCCUAUUUGAGAUUCUUGAUCUAUCUUAUGAUUAAUAGUUCCUUGUGCUAUGGUGUGAUUUUAAUUUGGUGCCUUACUUAUGUUGCCUCUUUGAUGAUAGCCUCGUUGUGGAUAUGUUUGACUACUUUUUCUAAUUCAUAGUGUUGGUAUAAAAGAGUUAUAAUGCAUCUCGUGGUGUAAUUCACAACUUAAUGCAUCUGUUAGUGUAAUUCAGAAUAUAAUGCAUCCAUACUUUCUACUUCUUACUGUUAUAAUGUGUAUGCUACUUUAAUUCAUAUGAUAGUUAUUGUUUUCUAAUUCAUUAGUUCAGUCUUUGCUAUCUAUAUAAAUUGCUUACUUGUAGGAAGUGAGAGAUGGUAAAACCUAUGCAAGUUUAUGAGUCUACCCAAGUUCACACAAAUGAUUAUAUAAGCUAGUUAACUUGAUUAUGAUACCUACAAUCAUACUGCAGAAAUAUAACAUGAAAGGAAAACCCAAUAUCGUAUUGAGGAUCAUGGAGCAACGUCACGAAGGGAUGCCUAGAUAUUUGUAUGAAGUUUUAAUUCUGAUACAAUUGUUUUAAAUGUCUAGCCACUAGUAUUUUGGUUUAUGAAUGUUUAAACUAUGUAUUUUAUCUAUUGUUUUGAUUGUUAAUAUUGAAAGAAUUAUAUUUAUGGGAUUUAGAUAUUUUUAGUUAUAUAUUUAUGUAUUUUAAGUAUUUAUUAAUAUAUUUAUUUAAAUUGUCAACAAAAAUUGCCCCA
rnacentral:lncRNA from 1 species